AUGUACGCGCACGAACUGCUACUGAUGCUUUGUUGCGGUGCUGCUCCUGCUAUCGCUCGUGGCUGCCCAGGGAACCGCCUUUGCCAGCCGCGCAUGGCUCUGUCGACGACCCUGCUGCUGCACUCGCCUGCUGCCUUCAACUGCUGCUACCGCGGCCUCCAGCGCCGCCGCUGCUGCUCGUUGUUCCCUGCGACCGCUGCUGUUUGCUGCUUCUGCAUACAGCCACGCCGGCGCCCUGGCCGCCUCGUGUGCACCCUGGCCAUGUGCCUCGCCUGCUCCCACCUCGGCCAGCCGGCGCACCACCCUCGCGCUCGCCCUGCACCUCCUCUGAUCGCGCUCGGCCAUGGCGCAGUCGAGUGUGCGUGCGAUUCGAAGAAGGAUUGGCCGGUGCUGCCGGCUGGCGUCAAGUUCGACCCCACGGAUCAGGAGCUGAUCGAGCACCUUGAGGCCAAAGUGAGUGCUGACAGCACGAGAUCUCAUCCUCUCAUCGAUUUGUUCAUACCAACCAUUAACAGCGAGCACAACAUAUGCUACACCCAUCCUGAGAAACUUCCAGGUAUCACACUAAGUGGCCUAAGCAACCAUUUCUUCCAGCGCAAUUCCAGGGCGUUCAAAAGGGGCACGUGGACGCGUCGCAAGAUACAGUUGGAGUGCGGCAUGCACGCGAUGUGGCACAAGACUGGCAAUACCUUGCCGGUGAUGGUCAACAGCCGGCAGACGGGCAACAAAAAGGUUCUGGUGCUGCACACCAAUAAGAACUUCGAUCAGCAGAGGACCAACUGGGUGAUGCACCAGUACCACCUCGGUGACCUGGAGCAAGAGAAGGAGUGGGAGCUGGUCCUCUACAAGAUUUUCUACCAGACGAACACUAGGGCCAGGAGUAAAAAGAUUAUACGUUAG
rnacentral:rRNA from 1 species